rnacentral:rRNA from 1 species
GAUGAACGCUAGCGGCAGGCUUAACACAUGCAAGUCGAGGGGUAUUGGUUUUCGGACCAAGAGACCGGCGCACGGGUGCGUAACGCGUAUGCAAUCUACCUUUUGCAGAGGGAUAGCCCCAGAGAAAUUUGGAUUAAUACCUCAUAGUAUAGUACUUUGGCAUCAAGGAACUAUUAAAGUCACAACGGCAAAAGAUGAGCAUGCGUCCCAUUAGCUAGUUGGUAAGGUAACGGCUUACCAAGGCUACGAUGGGUAGGGGUCCUGAGAGGGAGAUCCCCCACACUGGUACUGAGACACGGACCAGACUCCUACGGGAGGCAGCAGUGAGGAAUAUUGGACAAUGGGGCGCAAGCCUGAUCCAGCCAUGCCGCGUGCAGGAAGACGGUCCUAUGGAUUGUAAACUGCUUUUANACAGGAANAACCCUCCACGUGUGGGAGCUUGACGGUACUGUAGGAAUAAGGAUCGGCUAACUCCGUGCCAGCA